rnacentral:lncRNA from 1 species
CUGUGUGAGUGACGUGGGAACACUGAGCACACUGAUCGCCCCAGGGACCACCAGCAGCACCGCUGCACCAGCAGUCGGGACUUCUGAGAGAUCCGCUGACGCAGAAAUUGCUCUAGCAGACAAGCCAGAUGUGUCAGCCCCUGUCGGCUCUGCGAGAGGUGCAGCUGUGGAGCCAGAGAGGUUGGUGCCAGUCAAACCUGAAGUCCUGGUUGGACUGGGACAACUGAUCCAUGAUCCCAGAGUUCAGCGGACCUACACAGAGGAGUUACGCCGAGAGGCCAUCACUGACAAGAGGAGUGUCGGGAUAGAGAAGGUGCCAGCAGGUGGGAGGGUCUCCUCCCUUAACCCCGAUCACCUGAAGCCCAUGAGGAAAAGGAAGAGGAAGGAAUACCUGAGUCCCUCUGAGGAAGACUCUGACAUCGAAGGCACGGUGGGACAGCAUUGUUAUUUCCCUUUAACUUUCCAGAGAUAGCCAGAUGUUCUCAUAUCUGAUGAGUUCAGUCAGAUGAACAUGAAUUUGGCAUAUCAUUACUGAAAGUAUUUUCCGUGACUGUAUUGGCUUUCUACUCGCGUGUGAUAUCUGUUACAUGUUUUUUUAGGAUGAGAAAAUUGAUGAUUCUAAAGCAGACUGCAGACACAUCAGAGGAGGUUGGAUAAAUCUGUCUUUUUUUUACAUUUGUCUGUUUUAUCAUCUUUCAUCCCUUUUUGCUCUUUUUUCUCAUUUGUUUGCAGUAUUUGUUUUUCCUCCCGUCCUCCUUUCCCCCUUACACACAGAUGUAAUGUCAAGUCAUAAUUGCAUAUCCCUGAAAACAUAAUGCAAUUCCAUACAACGACACCACAAAUUAUGAAGUU